UACGUAGGUGGCGAGCGUUGUCCGGAAUUACUGGGGUGUAAAGGGCGUGUAGGCGGGGAUGCAAGUCAGAUGUGAAAUACCGAGGCUUAACUUCGGGGGGUGCAUCUGAAACUGUAUUUCUUGAGUGUCGGAGAGGAAAGUGGAAUUCCUAGUGUAGCGGUGAAAUGCGUAGAUAUUAGGAGGAACACCAGUGGCGAAGGCGACUUUCUGGACGAUAACUGACGCUGAGGCGCGAAAGCGUGGGGAGCAAACAGGAUUAGAUACCCCCGUAGUCCCUGA
rnacentral:rRNA from 1 species